rnacentral:rRNA from 1 species
GAUGAACGCUAGCGAUAGGCUUAACACAUGCAAGUCGAGGGGCAGCAUGAACAAAGCUUGCUUUGUUUGAUGGCGACCGGCGCACGGGUGCGUAACACGUAUGCAACUUACCCAUAAAGCGAGGAUAACCCGGAGAAAUUCGGACUAAUACUCGAUGGUAUUAUUGGGAGGCAUCUUCUAAUAAUUAAAGAUUUAUCGAUUAUGGAUAGGCAUGCGCAUGAUUAGCUAGUUGGUGAGGUAACGGCUCACCAAGGCGACGAUCAUUAGGGGUUCUGAGAGGAAGGUCCCCCACACUGGUACUGAGACACGGACCAGACUCCUACGGGAGGCAGCAGUGAGGAAUAUUGGUCAAUGGACGAGAGUCUGAACCAGCCAAGUCGCGUGAAGGAAGACUGCCCUAAGGGUUGUAAACUUCUUUUGUGUGGGAAUAAAAAGAGGGACGUGUCCCUCAUUGUAUGUACCAUACGAAUAAGGAUCGGCUAACUCCGUGCCAGCCGCCGCAGUAAGAC